rnacentral:rRNA from 1 species
AUUGAACGCUGGCGGCAGGCUUAACACAUGCAAGUCGAGCGGUAACAGAGAGAAGCUUGCUUCUCUGCUGACGAGCGGCGGACGGGUGAGUAAUGCCUAGGAAUCUGCCUAGUAGUGGGGGAUAACUUGCCGAAAGGUAAGCUAAUACCGCAUACGUCCUACGGGAGAAAGGAGGGGACCUUCGGGCCUUUCGCUAUUAGAUGAGCCUAGGUCGGAUUAGUUAGUUGGUGAGGUAAUGGCUCACCAAGACCGCGAUCCGUAACUGGUCUGAGAGGACGAGCAGUCACACUGGAACUGAGACACGGUCCAGACUCCCACGGGAGGCAGCAGUGGGGAAUAUUGGGCAAUGGGGGGAACCCUGAUCCAGCCAUGCCGCGUGUGUGAAGAAGGUCUUAGGAUUGUAAAGCACUUUAAGUUGGGAGGAAGAGCAGUUAACUAAUAUUUGACUGUUCUGACGUUACCGACAGAAUAAGCACCGGCUAACUUCGUGCCAGCCGCCGCAGUAA